rnacentral:tRNA from 1 species
AUUAUAUAUAUAUAUAUAUAUCUGUCUAGUAAACAGAAAGUCGCUGGUUCGAUUCCAGCAU